rnacentral:rRNA from 1 species
UACGUAGGGUGCGAGCGUUUGUCCGGAAUUAUUGGGCGUAAAGGGCUCGUAGGCGGUCUGUCGCGUCGGGAGUGAAAACUCAGGGCUUAACCCUGAGCCUGCUUCCGAUACGGGCAGACUAGAGGUAUGCAGGGGAGAACGGAAUUCCUGGUGUAGCGGUGGAAUGCGCAGAUAUCAGGAGGAACACCAAUGGCGAAGGCAGCUCGCUGGGACGUGACUGACGCUGAGACGCGAAAGCGUGGGGAGCAAACAGG